rnacentral:SRP_RNA from 1 species
UGGGUCUUGCGCAAUGGAUAUCUGCGAACCGUGUCAGGGUGGGAACACAGCAGCACUAAGCGGAAUCUUCCAUGUGCCGCGAGGAAGCCUG